UCUGGGAGUGCCCCACUUCACUGAGCUUGCAGCAACAGGUGCUCUUCCUGGCCCGACAGUGGAAAGCCAUGCCCCCCUCAUAAUAGUUACCAACUUCACGUAAAUCAAUAAUGUUUAUCAAAUGGAUUGUCCUUAAUGACCACUUGUGCCUCAACAUCACCAACAACCAUGUAAGGGGAUUCCUACAGUAACAAUGAGGCUCUGCAACCUGACUUCCUCAACACCCACUGCUGAAGAACCACAGGCCUUCACAGAUUUGCUGUGCUUCUGGCUUCUCUUCUGAACACAGGAACUUCACUUCAGAAUAUCUUUGCACCACAUUUGUCCCCUAUCAUGCACACCUCUAACACAUCCUGCUCAUGGAUGUUUCAUUGAA